GGCCGGAUGGCGCAAUGGUAGCGCGCUGUCUUCCGGUUACGGAAUGUGGCAGCGGUUGCGCGUUCGAGUCGCGCUUCGGUCG
rnacentral:tRNA from 1 species